rnacentral:lncRNA from 1 species
UGUCUUCCAUAGGAAGAAUUUUCUAACACAACAAACAGGUGAGGACACGACUCGUCUUUACAAGCUCUCUGUGGUGCUUCCCAGCAUGGAGCAGAUCCACAAAAGAACUCUGAGGGGCGUAGCAAGGAGACCAAACACAGGCACCCAGGGAGAGCGCCUGGCAUAGCCACAGGGCCAUUGAGAUCUGCCACAGGGGGUGUUUGCCCGCUCUCAGUCGUCUCCCGAGCUGCAGAGUCCCCAGCCUGGAAACAAGGUUUCAGCAUUCCCUUACAUGGUCCAGGCGCCGUCAGCGAGGUGAGCAACGGCACGUCGAGGAGGGCAGGCUGCGUCUGGCUGCUGCCUCUUCUGGUCUUGCACCUGCUUCUCAAAUUUUGAUGUGAGUGCCACUUCCCCACCCGGGAAAGGCUGCCGCCACCACCACCACCAACACAACAGCAAUGGCAACACCGACAGCAACCAAUCAGAUAUAUACAAAUGAAAUUAGAAGAAACACAGCCUCAUGGGACAGAAAUUUG